GAUGAACGCUGGCGGCGUGCCUAAUACAUGCAAGUCGAGCGAACGGACGAGAAGCUUGCUUCUCUGAUGUUAGCGGCGGACGGGUGAGUAACACGUGGAUAACCUACCUAUAAGACUGGGAUAACUUCGGGAAACCGUAGCUAAUACCGGAUAAUAUUUUGAACCGCAUGGUUCAAAAGUGAAAGACGGUCUUGCUGUCACUUAUAGAUGGAUCCGCGCUGCAUUAGCUAGUUGGUAAGGUAACGGCUUACCAAGGCAACGAUGCAUAGCCGACCUGAGAGGGUGAUGGCCCACACGGGAACUGAGACACGGCCCAGACCCCUAGGGGAGGCAGCAGUAGGGAAUCUUCCGCAAUGGGCGAAAGCCUGACGGAGCAACGCCGCGUGAGUGAUGAAGGUCUUCGGAUUGUAAAACUCUGUUAUUAGGGAAGAAAAUAUGUGUAAGUAACUGUGCACAUUUUGACGGUACCUAAUCAGAAAGCCACGGCUAGCUACGU
rnacentral:rRNA from 1 species